rnacentral:rRNA from 1 species
GAUGAACGCUGGCGGCGUGCCUAAUACAUGCAAGUCGAGCGAACGGACGAGAAGCUUGCUUCUCUGAUGUUAGCGGCGGACGGGUGAGUAACACGUGGAUAACCUACCUAUAAGACUGGGAUAACUUCGGGAAACCGGAGCUAAUACCGGAUAAUAUUUUGAACCGCAUGGUUCAAAAGUGAAAGACGGUCUUGCUGUCACUUAUAGAUGGAUCCGCGCUGCAUUAGCUAGUUGGUAAGGUAACGGCUUACCAAGGCAACGAUGCAUAGCCGACCUGAGAGGGUGAUCGGCCACACUGGAACUGAGACACGGUCCAGACUCCUACGGGAGGCAGCAGUAGGGAAUCUUCCGCAAUGGGCGAAAGCCUGACGGGGCAACGCCGCGUGAGUGAUGAAGGUCUUCGGAUCGUAAAACUCUGUUAUUAGGGUAGAACAUAUGUGUAAGUAACUGUGCACAUCUUGACGGUACCUAAUCAGAAAGCCACGGCUAACUACGUG